rnacentral:tRNA from 1 species
CGGACGGAUGUGGCGCAGCUUGGUAGCGCAUCCGCUUUGGGAGCGGAGGGUCGCAGGUUCAAAUCCUGUCAUCCCGACCA